rnacentral:misc_RNA from 1 species
ACCAUUGUCCUUCAAAAUUUUUAUACAAAUCCUGCAAAAUCAAAUUCUAUUUCUUUUGAAAAAUCCGCCAUGGAUACACCUUCAGCCCCCUCUUCCUCUUCUGUGCAAAAACCCUGACAAAAACCCACUUUCAUGCUAGCUCUUCCUCUCUCUUUGGACCUUCAAUUUCUAUCUGCAGACCAAAAUUAGGGCAAAUGGGAUCUACUGUACCAUUUCAGGACCUCAACCUCUCUCCAUCUCCAUCUUCAUCUCCGCUGUCCACCAACGCUGCUGUCCCUACCCCGCCUCCUCUUUUAAUACCAAAGAUUGAACCUAAACUUGAGCCGCUUGACGAUCUAGUUGAAACACCUCAGCCCCAAGAACCUCAAGACCCUUUGUAUCCCGAAUUUACCCCUAACUUGUUCUCUAAUUCCGAACAUACCCCUCCUUCCCAAUCCUCCGCCCUCUCUUCCUCCCAAGAAGACAAUGUCUACUCCGAAUACCACAGAAUAUCCGAGCUUUUUCGUACUGCGUUCGCCAAACGCUUGCAGCAGCAGUACGGCGACGUUUCGGUGUUGGACCCAGAUUCUCGCGCGAUCGUCCCUGUCAAUGAAGACAGUAGUCUCUCCUCCGUUGUCGUCACCCGGCCUCCUCGCCGAUACCCGAAGCGCUCUUCGGAGCUUGUCCGCGUGACCGACCUGGGAAUCGAGGACCAGCGGUAUUUCCGAGACGUCUGUCGUCGAACCCGUAUGCUAUAUGAUGCCCUCCGCAUCUUCUCCGUCUUGGAGGAAGAGAAACGCCGUGGCGAGAGCCUCGGCCGCCGGGCCCGUGGCGAUCUCCUCGCCGCCUCCUUGAUGCGUGAACGCGGGCUUUGGCUCAACCGCGAUAAGCGGAUCGUGGGGUCCAUCCCUGGAGUUGAAGUUGGGGAUCUCUUCUUUUUCCGGAUGGAAUUGUGCGUGGUUGGACUCCAUGGCCAAGUCCAAGCAGGAAUUGAUUACCUUCCGGCAAGCCAGAGCUCCAAUAGGGAGCCCAUUGCGACAAGCAUUAUAGUUUCGGGCGGCUAUGAGGACGAUGAGGACUCUGGAGAUAUGUUAAUCUACACGGGGCACGGUGGACAGGACAAGUUUUCGAGGCAAUGUAUGCACCAGAAGCUGGAAGGAGGGAAUUUAGCGUUGGAGAGGAGUAUGCAUUAUGGGAUUGAGGUAAGAGUAAUUAGAGGGUUUAAAUAUGCAGGGAGUUUUACUAAUAAGAUUUACGUUUAUGAUGGUUUGUACAAGAUUCAUGAUUGUUGGUUUGACGUGGGGAAAUCUGGGUUUGGUGUUUAUAAGUACAAACUGUUGAGGAUUGAUGGGCAACCAGAAAUGGGUAGUUCGAUUUUGAGGUUUGCACAGAGUUUGAGAGUUAGUCCAUUGAGUGUGAGGCCUAGGGGGUAUCUUAGUCUUGAUAUUUCCAACAAGAAGGAGAAUAUGCCAGUUAUGUUGUUUAAUGAUAUUGAUAACGAUCAUGAUCCUCUGUGUUAUGAGUAUCUGAUGAGGACAGUGUUUCCACCCUUUGCAUUUAAUCAUGGAAGUAAUGGGACAGGGUGUGAUUGUGUUUCAGGUUGUAUUGAUGGUUGUUUUUGCUCGAUGAAGAAUGGGGGAGAGUUUGCUUAUGAUCAGAGUGGUUUCUUGUUGAGAGGGAAGCCGGUAGUAUUUGAAUGCGGAGCUUUUUGUAAGUGCCCACCAAGUUGCCGAAAUCGGGUAACUCAAAGGGGGGUGAGAAAUAAAUUGGAAGUGUUUAGGUCAAGGGAGACAGGCUGGGGAGUUAGGUCAUUGGAUUUGAUACAUGCUGGUGGAUUUAUAUGUGAAUACGCAGGGGUUGUUCUCACAAGAGAGCAAGCUGAGGUUUUCACAAUGAAUGGUGAUAGCUUGAUUUAUCCAAGUAGGUUUUCUCAGAAAUGGGCUGAAUGGGGGGAUCUGUCUCAGAUUUAUCCUGAUUAUGUACGUCCAUCUUAUCCAUUGAUUCCACCUUUGGAUUUUGCAAUGGAUGUGUCAAAAAUGAGGAAUGUUGC